rnacentral:rRNA from 1 species
GACGAACGCUGGCGGCGUGCUUAACACAUGCAAGUCGAACGGAAAGGCCCUGCUUUUGUGGGGUGCUCGAGUGGCGAACGGGUGAGUAACACGUGAGUAACCUGCCCUUGACUUUGGGAUAACUUCAGGAAACUGGGGCUAAUACCGGAUAGGAGCUCCUGCUGCAUGGUGGGGGUUGGAAAGUUUCGGCGGUUGGGGAUGGACUCGCGGCUUAUCAGCUUGUUGGUGGGGUAGUGGCUUACCAAGGCUUUGACGGGUAGCCGGCCUGAGAGGGUGACCGGCCACAUUGGGACUGAGGUACGGCCCAGACUCCUACGGGAGGCAGCAGGGGGGAAUAUUGCACAGUGGGCGGAAGCCUGAUGCAGCAGCGCCGCGUGCGGGAUGACGGCCUUCGAGUUAUAAACCGCUUUCGCCUGUGACAAGGCGUGAGUGACGGUAAUGGGUAAAGAAGCACCGGCUAACUACGUG